UACGUAGGGGGCAAGCGUUGUCCGGAAUUAUUGGGCGUAAAGAGCGUGUAGGCGGUCCGGUAAGUCAGCUGUGAAAGUCAAGGGCUCAACCCUUGAAUGCCGGUUGAUACUGUCGGGCUAGAGUCCGGAAGAGGCGAGUGGAAUUCCCGGUGUAGCGGUGAAAUGCGCAGAUAUCGGGAGGAACACCAAUGGCGAAGGCAGCUCGCUGGGACGGUACUGACGCUGAGACGCGAAAGCAUGGGGAGCGAACAGG
rnacentral:rRNA from 1 species